GACGAACGCUGGCGGCGUGCUUAACACAUGCAAGUCGAACGGAAAGGCCCUGCUUGCAGGGUACUCGAGUGGCGAACGGGUGAGUAACACGUGGGUGAUCUGCCCUGCACUUCGGGAUAAGCCUGGGAAACUGGGUCCAAUACCGGAUAGGAGCCAUUUUUAGUGUGAUGGUUGGAAAGUUUUUUCGGUGUAGGAUGAGCUCGCGGCCUAUCAGCUUGUUGGUGGGGUAAUGGCCUACCAAGGCGGCGACGGGUAGCCGGCCUGAGAGGGUGGACGGCCACAUUGGGACUGAGAUACGGCCCAGACUCCUACGGGAGGCAGCAGUGGGGAAUAUUGCACAAUGGGCGCAAGCCUGAUGCAGCGACGCCGCGUGGGGGAUGACGGCCUUCGGGUUGUAAACUCCCUUCGCUAGGGACGAAGCUUUUUGUGACGGUACCUAGAGAAGAAGCACCGGCUAACUACGUG
rnacentral:rRNA from 1 species